rnacentral:tRNA from 1 species
AGGUCAGCGGGCACGGCCGCUUACCUUGACACGGUAGAGGUCACAGGUUCAAUCCCUGUAUCGCCCACCA